AAAAAGAAGAAACCCUAAUCAAACAUUCUUCAUAUUCUCAAGUUGCCCUGUGUUCUUCUCUCCUCUUCCUAUCCCUCUCUCCCUGGAGCCCGAUCUCUCUCAUCUCUCUCACUGUGGCGACGCACUCAAGCUCUCUUCCUCUCUCGUCUCUCUCUGUCUCCGGUCUGUCACUCAAGGUCGUCAUCGCUCUCCGUGUCGUCACCCUCUCGCAUUCAGAGGAGGAAUUGGAAGCUAUGAGUGUCAAGAGUUUGAUUUAGUAACUGUAUAGCUUCCAAUUCCUCCUCUUUUUCCUGCACAUCCAGUUUGAAUGCUCGCAUUCAGUCGCGCUCGUCAUCGCCGGCGGAAGCAACAGGUCCCGGGACUGGUCGUCGUCGCUCUCUGUCUCAUCGUUGUCUUGCACUCAGUCGCGCGCCUUUGUGGCGCUCGUCGUCGCCGGCGGCAGAAGCAGCAGGUCCCAGGCUGGUCGUCGUUGUCGCCGUCAACUUCCUCCUCACCGUCAGCUUCCUCCCCGCGGUCUUCGUCCUUCGCGUAACCAGAAGCUGCUUUCCGAUUUGGUGCGGUCCAUGUCAAUUCAUGGUUCCCAUUCUUGAUGAAGUGAGCACUCGCCUUAAGGACAAGAUCCAGGUAGUCAAGAUUGAUUCUGAGAAGUAAACUGCGAUCACAAUUACAGGAUUGAGGCCCUGCCAACCUUCAUCAUCAUCAAGGAUAGAGAGCCCUUCGAUCGAUUUUAGAAACCAACGCUAUAAUGGAGCAAAAACAAGGCUGAUGAGAAAAUGAUGCGUAAGGCCGAACAACAGAAGGUUAUUCCCUUUCUCAUUUUAAAUACAUUUGGAUGUCUACUAUUGUUAAUCCAGUUUCGUGUGUCCAAUUUAUUCAUUGUGCCAUUUGGGAGUUGAAUAUUAGAGGGAAAAGGAAAAACUGGAUAGAAGAAUUCAUGAACUAUAAUGACAACUUGACGAAAAAGAAGCAUUGGAAUUGGAAAUUGUGCGUCUGAGAGGAGCUGUUGAAGUAAUGAAACACAUGGAGGAGGAUGAAUGAGAGGAGAAGAAGAAACUGGAAGCAGUUGAAGUACUUAAUCAAACUCUUGUCAUCAAGGAGUAAAACCAAUGAUGGUAAGAGUUUGAUUAAGUACCUCAGCUGCUUCCAAUCCCUCCUCUGAAUGCGAGACGGCGACGACUGACGACACGGAGAGCAAUGGCGACCUUGAGUGCGAGACUGGAGUGAUAAACCGCUAUUUUACGGUUUAUUUUGUACUGAAUUGAAUUAAUUUUAUCCAUUAUUCUUACACUUA